rnacentral:tRNA from 1 species
AGUGGUUAGGCAUUCAGCUACUAACUGAAAGGGUGGUGGUUCAACCCCACCAGCCACUC